ACGUCCUAAAACCUUCAACCAUGUACUUUGGUGUUUAGGGUUAGCCUCAUAGCUUGUGGAGUUCUUAUGUCAGUGUCUUCGAUCUCUGUUUCUGCUUCAAUCUCUGUUUCAGCAUCCCUCACACUCACACACUCUGUCUGCGCUCCACACCCACCCACCCAAUCUCUCCCUCCGCGCACUCUCUCUGUUUGCGAUUUCCAUUCUCAGGGCUCGCUUCUCUUCCACUGACGUCGCUGCUGGCCACCGCGAAACACACAGGCCACCACGUCGUCGUCGCUAACCAUACCCGCUUCUCUUCUCCUCCACCUUCACAUCCACCACGCGUUGGCUAUUUCGAGAAAACAGCGUCCACGACCACCGCGAAAACAGCGGAGCCACCGUCGGACUGCGAUUGGCGGACGAUUCCGACCGCCACGACCACCGCGAAGACAGACCCAUGGCCUUCAUCUUCUAUUUCCUUUCCUCCAUCAAAUCCUUCACUGCAUGCAACAAUUUCCAUGGUCACCUGCAGCUACAAAAUGUUCAAGUACUCCAAUAGAACCCGUCUCCCUCUUCGCCGAAGGCGCAGACUCCAUUUUUGCCGACCAGCGCCUCUGUUUUAUGCAUAAACACCAACACCACCUUCCUGGUAAUCCGAUUCUCACCAAGCUUUUUUAUGCAAAAAAAACAAAAAAAAAAUCUCAUGCUUAUCAACUCACAAGUGUUGUCUUUGUUGCUGUCAGAAGUUAACAUUGUUAUCUUUUUAUUUUUCUAUUUCUCUUUUCUUCAAUGAUACUUGUUGAUGUAUUAGUUUUGUUUUGUUCCUCUCAUUGAUGAUGUAGUAAUUCUAUGAGUGCGAGUGCAAUGUAACUUGAGAAUGAGAGAAUACUGUGAUUUGGAAAUUGGAACCAUUUAUGUUUCUCUUUGUAUUACAUUAAUGAUUAAUGAUAUCCUACUGAUACGAAGAUAGAACACCAUUUGAUUGGGUGAAAGGAAAAUUGUAGGAUUGUUUGUGA